GAUCAAAAGAGAAAAAAGAAAAAAAAAAUCCAUCUUCUCCUAGUCGUCUCUCUCUCUCGCAGCCCCAACAUCUCUAGCGUGGGAAGAGUUCCAGCAGCGACGGCGACUUCCCACUCCGGACACAGCCCACAUAUAUUUUAUAGUUCUCUAUUAUCCGUAACAAAAACUCGUCCCUAUAAUCCUCUCCCUCUCCCUCUCUCUCUCUCUCUCUCUCUCUCUCUCUCUCUCUCUCCUUCUACGUCUCUCUCUGUCUCUAUUCUCUUUCUCUCUCUAGGGUUUCUCUUCCCUCUGUUACUGCUUAAAUUAUUCAUCUCUCUCUAGGGUUUUGCAACUUCAAGGUAAACCUUGGCGACUGCUUCAGGUAUGUUUUCCCCAAUUUUUUCUUUUUUCCUUUUGAGAUAUACAUAUAAGUCGAUUCUUACCUUUCAAAUUGAUUGAUUUCUUUGGUAUUUAUGAUUACAUGAACUUUCGAUUUCAUCAUUUAAUCUAUUGGAAUUGUUCAAUUCUGCAAUUUUUUUGGUUCCUUCUCUUGAUUAUCUCUGUAUAUUUUUAGGUAUUUGUUUUGACUAACCCGUGAUCUGAUUAGUUUCUCAAAAGUCAACUCCUUCUGCUAAUUCAAAUUAGUUUCUCCUCAGCUCUCCUCUACCAGUGUUGGUGGUUGAAACAUUUUCUUUUCUUUUAUUUUUGGGUAAAAAUUAAGGAUCUCUUUAAUUGAAUAAUUGAAUGUGGUGUGUGGAAAUAUUGUGUAAUGCAUGCUUAACUGUUGGAAACUGGACUACUACUGCUUGGAAGCAUAGAAUCACCAUGGGAUUUGCUCCUUCCUGUGAUUCCUCCUUUUGAAUUGGAAUUUGGAGCUAUAUUAUAAAAAUUGAGGCUUAUAAUUCUGGGGAUUUCAAAGAUGCCUUAAAAAGGGCUUGUAUACUGCAAACUUCAAAAGGCUCAAAAGAAAGAGCAUUGACCCACAACUUUAAGCCAUCACUCUCUCCAUAAAGCAGAGUUAGUAACCAUGUCAGAAUUAUAGGUAGGAACUUAACCAUGCCCAUCACUUUCAUCCUUGGUCAUUUGCUUAAGGACAAUCUAGGUUCUGUUAUACAAUUUUUAAAAAAUUACAAGCAGUAUUUUUCUCACUUGAUCAGAUAAUUUAGAUUUACCAGUAGUAUUUCAAGAGGUUGGGUUGGAUUUUUUAGAAUCUAAAAAAGAAAGAAUAUAUAUUGAGCAACUGUAAAUUGACCAAAUUAGUAAUGAAACGCCAUAAAACAGACAAAGGAUGGAAGACUCAUUCCUUUAAGCACAUCUUAAGUCAAAUAGUAUAGCUUGUAGAAUUAUAGUUUUUAUUAAAGUAUAGGGCGAUAUUACAAAUGAUCGUACUAAACACUAUGGAACUGCUGGAAAUAAAUUUAGCUUUCAGGGUUAUUUGUUGAUAAUUUAUUAAAUGAUUGCUUGCAUUGUGUUUAGGUCAUUUGUAGUUCAUGGAAUCAGUAAUUUUUAUUAUUUCUUUUGCAGCUAAAACUAUUUUUCACGGAUGUGACUUUCGCAAAACCAAAAAGCAGCCGUAAUUCAAGCUUAGAUGCAAGGCCUUGGAGGUUCAUAGAUUCCACAAAUAGCUCCUCUAGGUUUCCAGAUUUCAAGAAAUCCAAUGGAAAUUCCAUCUUUGAGUUAGUUACUACACCAACAAAAAUAAAUGGUGUACAUUAUGUUCAGGUGAGUCAUUCCACUGGUUGUUUAUGGCCAUGUAAGCCUUUUUCUUAAUUAUUAUUUUUGUAAUAAUAUUUUUUACAUGAAUAAUACUUUGAGUGAAGAAAAUAUCUUAAUCUUACUACAUCUUAUUGGGAUGUGCUCUCUCUAUUGCUCUUUACUUUUCUUUUUUCCCCUCAUGUAUUAAAUGAUUAUUAAUAUUUUUUGGGGGGGAUCAAAAAUGGUUUUUUAUGAUUUUGGAAAACUUAAUUGGUUAAACAGGGCUUGUUUUGUUUUCAGUUUUUUCUAGUUAUCAGGUUGCUAGGUAGUGAAUCAACGGCGGAAAGAUAGUGCAUCGUCCUCGGUUACUAUCAUUAUAUGCACUUUAUCGUACCAAUUUGAGUUUUCUGAUACCAUAUAUGUUAAUUUUUCAUUAUUCAAUAAAUGCAACGACUGAAUUCUUGAAACUUUGCCUUUUUUGAAUCAACUUAAAUGAAUGUUUCUAGCACUUUUCUAAAAAUGAAGUUGUAAAGAUUUAACAUAUAAUUUGGCAAACUACAUUGAAUAGCAGACUGAAAUUCACUUCAAAGGGCCGUCUUCCAUUGUGCAACUUUUGUCUAUGCAACGAA